ACCCAGCUAGCUCAGGUGGUAGAGCAUAAGACUCUUAAUCUCAGGGUCUAGGGUUCAAGCCCCAAUUUAGGCA
rnacentral:tRNA from 1 species